rnacentral:rRNA from 1 species
AGUGAACGCUGGCGGUAGGCCUAACACAUGCAAGUCGAACGGCAGCACAGUAAUAGCUUGCUCUUACGGGUGGCGAGUGGCGGACGGGUGAGGAAUACAUCGGAAUCUACUUUUUCGUGGGGGAUAACGUAGGGAAACUUACGCUAAUACCGCAUACGACCUACGGGUGAAAGCAGGGGAUCUUCGGACCCUGCGCGAUUGAAUGAGCCGAUGUCGGAUUAGCUAGUUGGCGGGGUAAAGGCCCACCAAGGCGACGAUCCGUAGCUGGUCUGAGAGGAUGAUCAGCCACACUGGAACUGAGACACGGUCCAGACUCCUACGGGAGGCAGCAGUGGGGAAUAUUGGACAAUGGGCGCAAGCCUGAUCCAGCCAUACCGCGUGGGUGAAGAAGGCCUUCGGGUUGUAAAGCCCUUUUGUUGGGAAAGAAAAGCAGCAGGUUAAUACCCCGCUGUUCUGACGGUACCAAAAGAAUAAGCACCGGCUAACUUCGUG